rnacentral:rRNA from 1 species
AGAGUUUGAUCAUGGCUCAGAUUGAACGCUGGCGGAAUGCUUUACACAUGCAAGUCGAACGGCAGCACGGGGCAACCUGGUGGCGAGUGGCGAACGGGUGAGUAAUACAUCGGAACGUGCCCAAUCGUGGGGGAUAACGUAGCGAAAGUUACGCUAAUACCGCAUACGAUCUACGGAUGAAAGCGGGGGAUCGCAAGACCUCGCGCGAAUGGAGCGGCCGAUGUCAGAUUAGGUAGUUGGUGGGGUAAAGGCUCACCAAGCCGACGAUCUGUAGCUGGUCUGAGAGGACGACCAGCCACACUGGGACUGAGACACGGCCCAGACUCCUACGGGAGGCAGCAGUGGGGAAUUUUGGACAAUGGGCGCAAGCCUGAUCCAGCCAUUCCGCGUGCAGGAUGAAGGCCUUCGGGUUGUAAACUGCUUUUAUACGGAACGAAACGGUGAGCUCUAAUACAGUUUGCUAAUGACGGUACCGUAAGAAUAAGCACCGGCUAACUACGUG